rnacentral:rRNA from 1 species
UACGUAGGGGGCAAGCGUUGUCCGGAUUUAUUGGGCGUAAAGAGCGUGUAGGCGGCUUUGCAAGUCCGUUGUGAAAACUCGAGGCUCAACCUCGAGACGCCGGUGGAAACUGCAAAGCUAGAGUCCGGAAGAGGAGAGUGGAAUUCCUGGUGUAGCGGUGAAAUGCGCAGAUAUCAGGAAGAACACCCGUGGCGAAAGCGGCUCUCUGGGACGGUACUGACGCUGAGACGCGAAAGCGUGGGGAGCAAACAGG